CUUAUUGUCCACUUAAUUUGACAGCACAAUAAAAUUCCGUUAAUACCCCUGCCUCUUCAUCCACACGUUAGGGUGCUUUUCCUUUCGUCCACACGCUUUACUGUUCCCAAGUCUGGAUGCUUCCACACACACCUCUUCUUUUCUCGUCGUUUCGUUUAUCCUCCACCGGUUAGUUCUUGCUUUAGUCCGAAACAGACACAUCCAUACCUUUUUGCUGCAGUUAAGCUUUCCUCCUCCACCGGUUAGUUCUUGCUUCAGUCCGAAUCAAUUUUUUACCACACAGCCGCUACCACCAUUUCAUACAUCACCACGUUUUACAGAUUCCUGUCGAUUGAAGAUUGUGGAAGGGUGUAUGGGUUUGGGUAAUUUUCAUACGCUUGAGGUAGAAGCUUUUGUAGACAAAUCGACAAAUCCCCACCGCCACCGCACUACAAACCCGUCUUCGCCGUCCAUUGGAAAACCCAAGAAGAAAUUUUGAUCGUCGGCCGACACCCGGACUGCAACAUCGUCUUGGCUUUGCAAAUUCCACCUCCAAAUCCUUUCUGACCCCUUUUUUCCAAAAGCGCUCUCACCGAUUUGUGAUCAGGUAGGAAUUUGGGGUUUUUAUUUGGCAUUUCAUUCAAGUAUUCUUUGCUUCAAAUUAGAAAACAAACUCAAGCCCUCAAACCCUGAAAAAAAAAAAAAGAAAUGCUUGAUUCGUAUGCAUUCCAUGUUGCUACUGAGGUUUACAAUUUUUUUAUUUUUUGGUUUUUAUUUUUCCUCCUUAGUUGUUAUUUUCCUUUUACUGUAUAUUGUAUCUUCUGUUUGGGAAUACCUCUGUUUUUUAACCUGCCGAGAAUGCCUCUGUCAAAUCCAAUUAUGAAGCAUCUUUGGAUUUUUAUUGAUAUAAAGACCUUUUCUUUCUCCAAUUAUGCCUUUGUCAACUCCUUUUAGUUUAAAUGCACUCAUUUAUCUAAUUUUUAAUUUAAUUUAAUUUAAUUUUUUUGCUAUUUAGUGUGAGAAAAUGGCUUCAAAAUUGGAUUUUCCAAUGUCUGGGCAAAGGAAAACAAUUACGUGUAACCACAGUUGUAAACUCGCAGGCUUUUUUGCUUGUGAAAAUGCUACUUGUGUAAAAUAAAAUAAUAUAAAUACUAAUAUACAAGUGGACGGUCCGAGAUUGAGUUUA